UGGGGAAUAUUGGACAAUGGGGGCAACCCUGAUCCAGCGAUGCCGCGUGAGUGAAGAAGACCUUCGGGUUGUAAAGCUCUUUUAGCAGGGAAGAUAAUGACGGUACCUGCAGAAUAAGCCCCGGCAAACUUCGUGCCAGCAGCCGCGGUAAUACGAAGGGGGCUAGCGUUGUUCGGAAUUACUGGGCGUAAAGAGAGCGUAGGCGGCUCUAUAAGUUAGAUGUGAAAGCCCCGGGCUUAACCUGGGAACA
rnacentral:rRNA from 1 species